rnacentral:rRNA from 1 species
GAUGAACGCUGGCGGCGUGCCUAAUACAUGCAAGUCGAGCGAACAGAUGAGGAGCUUGCUCCUCUGACGUUAGCGGCGGACGGGUGAGUAGCACGUGGAUAACCUACCUAUAAGACUGGGAUAACUUCGGGAAACCGGAGCUAAUACCGGAUAAUAUAUUGAACCGCAUGGUUCAAUAGUGAAAGGCGGUUUUGCUGUCACUUAUAGAUGGAUCCGCGCCGCAUUAGCUAGUUGGUAAGGUAACGGCUUACCAAGGCAACGAUGCGUAGCCGACCUGAGAGGGUGAUCGGCCACACUGGAACUGAGACACGGUCCAGACUCCUACGGGAGGCAGCAGUAGGGAAUCUUCCGCAAUGGGCGAAAGCCUGACGGAGCAACGCCGCGUGAGUGAUGAAGGUCUUCGGAUCGUAAAACUCUGUUAUUGGGGAAGAACAAAUGUGUAAGUAACUAUGCACGUCUUGACGGUACCUAAUCAGAAAGCCACGGCUAACUACGUG